ACGCACGCUGGCGGCGUGCUUAACACCUGCAAGUCGAACGCUGAAGCUUGGUGCUUGCACUGGGUGGAUGAGUGGCGAACGGGUGAGUAAUACGUGAGUAACCUGCCCUUGACUCUGGGAUAAGCCUGGGAAACUGGGUCUAAUACUGGAUACGACAUGCCACUGCAUGGUGGUGUGUGGAAAGGGUUUUACUGGUUUUGGAUGGGCUCACGGCCUAUCAGCUUGUUGGUGGGGUAAUGGCCUACCAAGGCGACGACGGGUAGCCGGCCUGAGAGGGUGACCGGCCACACUGGGACUGAGACACGGCCCAGACUCCUACGGGAGGCAGCAGUGGGGAAUAUUGCACAAUGGGCGGAAGCCUGAUGCAGCGACGCCGCGUGAGGGAUGACGGCCUUCGGGUUGUAAACCUCUUUCAGCACGGAAGAAGCGAGAGUGACGGUACGUGCAGAAGAAGCGCCGGCUAACUACGUG
rnacentral:rRNA from 1 species